rnacentral:rRNA from 1 species
AUACGGAGGAUCCGAGCGUUAUCCGGAUUUAUUGGGUUUAAAGGGAGCGUAGGUGGAUUGUUAAGUCAGUUGUGAAAGUUUGGGGCUCAACCUUAAAAUUGCAGUUGAUACUGGUUUCCUUGAGUACGGUACAGGUGGGCGGAAUUCGUGGUGUAGCGGUGAAAUGCUUAGAUAUCACGAAGAACUCCGAUCGCGAAGGCAGCUCACCGGGCCGGAACUGACACUGAUGCUCGAAAGUGCGGGUAUCAAACAGGAUUAGAUACCCUGGUAGUCCGCACAGUAAACGAUGAAUACUCGCUGUUUGCGAUACACUGUAAGCGGCCAAGCGAAAGCGUUAAGUAUUCCACCUGGGGAGUACGCCGGCAACGGUGAAACUCAAAUGAAUUGACGGGG